CACCAGACCAGUGGAGCCAGACUGCAGCCAGAGCCCAUCACCAUCCUCAUCUGGUUUCAGGAACAGGCAAGAGGAGGAUGACGAUGACAUGAUAGAACUAAAAAGCUGCAAUGUGAAUCUUCAAAUGACCUGGAACGUCACCUGGAUGAUAAGACUGUUUGCCAGCUGGAUUGUGUGUCCUGGAUGAACAUCUCCCAUCAAAUACCACCCUUUUAAACUAAACUGCUACCGACCUUGUCCCAGGUAGAAUUGGUCUGGGCAAGUUUAGAAUCUCUGAUUUGGAUGAUGAGUAAUUCAUCCCCAUGUAUAUUGGAGUUUUAUUUCAUGUGAGCAUUAUCAUAUAAUAAAAUACUUUUAUUGUCA